AUUGAGCGCUGGCGGAAUGCUUUACACAUGCAAGUCGAACGGUAGAGGGGGCAACCCCUCGAGAGUGGCGAACGGGUGAGUAAUAUAUCGGAACGUGCCCAGUCGUGGGGGAUAACGUAGCGAAAGUUACGCUAAUACCGCAUACGAUCUAAGGAUGAAAGCGGGGGAUCGCAAGACCUCGCGCGAUUGGAACGGCCGAUAUCAGAUUAGGUAGUUGGUGGGGUAAAGGCUCACCAAGCCAACAAUCUGUAGCUGGUCUGAGAGGACGACCAGCCACACUGGAACUGGGACACGGUCCGGACUCCUACGGGAGGCAGCAGUGGGGAAUUUUGGACAAUGGACGCAAGUCUGAUCCAGCCAUUCCGCGUGCAGGAUGAAGGCCCUCGGGUUGUAAACUGCUUUUGUACGGAACGAAAAGGUCUCUCUUAAUACGGGGGACUCAUGACGGUACCGUAAGAAUAAGCACCGGCUAACUACGUGCCAGCAGCCGCCGUAA
rnacentral:rRNA from 1 species